GAAAUGCGAUACUUGGUGUGAAUUGCAGAAUCCCGUGAACCAUCGAGUCUUUGAACGCAAGUUGCGCCCGAAACCUUCGGGUCGAGGGCACGUCUGCCUGGGCGUCACGCAUCGCGUCUCCCCCAACUCACCUCGUGUGGGAAGGGGGAGGAGGAUGGCUUCCCGCGCCUCACCGGGCGUGGUUGGCCUAAAAAAGGAGCCUCAGGUUAUGCACUGUUGCGGCAAUUGGUGGUAGACAAGGCCUUGGCCUCGAAUGCAAUCUUGUGUCGUGCAGUACAUGACAACUGUGGGCUCGUAGGACCCUGAGUUGUUCCCAAUCGGAAACAAACCGUUGCGACCCCAGGUCAGGCGGGGCUACCCGCUGAGUUUAA
rnacentral:misc_RNA from 1 species